rnacentral:rRNA from 1 species
AGAUUGAACGCUGGCGGCAGGCCUAACACAUGCAAGUCGAGCGGCAGCACGGGUACUUGUACCUGGUGGCGAGCGGCGGACGGGUGAGUAAUGCCUAGGAAUCUGCCUGGUAGUGGGGGAUAACGCUCGGAAACGGACGCUAAUACCGCAUACGUCCUAGGGAGAAAGCAGGGGACCUUCGGGCCUUGCGCUAUCAGAUGAGCCUAGGUCGGAUUAGCUAGUCGGGUGUAGGUAAGUGGCUCAACCAGGCGACGUAUCCGUAACUGGUACUGAGAGGUAUAGAUCAGUCCAACACUGGAACUGAAGACCACGGUCCAAGACCUCCGUAACGGG